rnacentral:rRNA from 1 species
CCCGCCGGACCUGACUGCUAUCGGAUUGAUACUAAGCCAUGCGAGUCAUUGUAGCAAUACAAGGCAGACGGCUCAGUAACGCGUAGUCAACCUACCCUAUGGACGGGAAUAACCUCGGGAAACUGAGUAUAAUGCCCGAUAGAACAUUAUGCCUGGAAUGGUUUAUGUUCCAAAUGAUUUAUCGCCGUAGGAUGGGACUGCGGCCUAUCAGCUUGUUGGUGAGGUAAUGGCCCACCAAGGCGAUUACAGGUACGGGCUCUGAGAGGAGAAGCCCGGAGAUGGGUACUGAGACACGGACCCAGGCCCUAUGGGGCGCAGCAGGCGAGAAAACUUUGCAAUGUGCGAAAGCACGACAAGGUUAAUCCGAGUGGUUUCUGCUAAAGGAACCUUUUGUUAGUCCUAAAAACACUAACGAAUAAGGGGUGGGCAAGUUCUGGUGUCAGCCGCCGCGGUAAAACCAGCACCUCAAGUGGUCAGGAUGAUUAUUGGGCCUAAAGCAUCCGUAGCCUGCUCUGUAAGUUUUCGGUUAAAUCUGUAUGCUCAACAUACAGGCCGCCGGGAAUACUGCAGGGCUAGGGAGUGGGAGAGGUAGACGGUACUCAGUAGGAAGGGGUAAAAUCCUUUGAUCUAUUGAUGACCACCUGUGGCGAAGGCGGUCUACCAGAACACGUUCGACGGUGAGGGAUGAAAGCUGGGGGAGCAAACCGGAUUAGAUACCCGGGUAGUCCCAGCUGUAAACGAUGCAGACUCGAUGAUGCAUUGGCAUAAUAGCCAAUGCAGUGUCGCAGGGAAGCCGUUAAGGCUGCCGCCUGGGAAGUACGUACGCAAGUAUGAAACUUAAAGGAAUUGGCGGGGGAGCACCACAAGGGGUGAAGCCUGCGGUUCAAU